AUGGCAAGCGCAGCAACAUCCGUAGCUAUUGUUCUUAUUCUGAUCGCCGGCGUGUCCUCCGGCCUCCCUGCCACCUAUGCUGACACCAACGUGGCCGCCCGGAUGUGCCUGAAGACCACGAACCCCAUGUUGUGCAUGGUUGUUCUGAAGGUCAACCCAAAGAGCGCCUAUGCCUCCACGGAGCAGGACGUCGGCAGCGUCGCGCUGCAGAUCGCGAGUGACACCGCUGAGUACAACGUCGGGGUCAUCAACAACCUAAACAAGGGCAGCCUAGGCAAGCCCGAGGGAGGCGCGCUGGCGCAAUGCCUCUGGGCCUAUCAGGACGCCGACAACAACCUCAAACACAACGCCCGAACCGGUUUCGACCGUGGGGAUUAUGUUGGCGCGAUGGCUCUCGUUUCGGGCGCCCAGAUCGUUGGGGAUAUCUGCGAGAAUGCGUUCAAGAUGAUCGGCAAGAACUCCCCCGUGUCAAAGAUAGAUCACGAGAUGACUCAGCGAUGUGGCGUCGCGGCGGAACUCAUUGGCCUGCUUACCCACAAGUGA
rnacentral:rRNA from 1 species